AACGAACGCUGGCGGCAGGCCUAAUACAUGCAAGUCGAACGCACCGCAAGGUGAGUGGCAGACGGGUGAGUAACGCGUGGGAACCUUCCUAGUAGUACGGAAUAACUCCGGGAAACCGGUGCUAAUACCGUAUAAGCCCUCCGGGGGAAAGAUUUAUCGCUACUAGAUGGGCCCGCGUCGGAUUAGCUUGUUGGUGAGGUAAUGGCUCACCAAGGCUUCGAUCCGUAGCUGGUCUGAGAGGAUGAUCAGCCACACUGGGACUGAGACACGGCCCAGACUCCUACGGGAGGCAGCAGUAGGGAAUAUUGGACAAUGGGCGAAAGCCUGAUCCAGCCAUGCCGCGUGAGUGAAGAAGGCCUUAGGGUUGUAAAGCUUCUUUUGGCGGGAAGAUAAUGACGGUA
rnacentral:rRNA from 1 species